GGACUAAUAGUUUAAUUGGUUGAAACGUACUGCUCAUAACAUUUAUAUUGUAGGUUCAAGCCCUACUAAGCCUA
rnacentral:tRNA from 1 species